CGGACGGGUGAGUAACACGUGGAUAACCUACCUAUAAGACUGGGAUAACUUCGGGAAACCGGAGCUAAUACCGGAUAAUAUAUUGAACCGCAUGGUUCAAUGUGAAAGACGGUUUUGCUGUCACUUAUAGAUGGAUCCGCGCCGCAUUAGCUAGUUGGUAAGGUAACGGCUUACCAAGGCAACGAUGCGUAGCCGACCUGAGAGGGUGAUCGGCCACACUGGAACUGAGACACGGUCCAGACUCCUACGGGAGGCAGCAGAU
rnacentral:rRNA from 1 species